UGACCUCAGAUCAGGUAGGGAUACCCGCUGAACUUAAGCAUAUCAAUAAGCG
rnacentral:rRNA from 1 species